GUACACGCUGUGACUAGCAUAUCAAUAAGCGGAGGAAAAGAAACUAACAAGGAUUCCCUCAGUAACGGCGAGUGAAGCGGGAAGAGCUCAAAUUUGAAAUCUUCAAGGUUUUACCUUGACGAAUUGUAGUUUAAAGAAGUGUUUUCUGUUACGAUCGUAAUGUAAGUUCUCUGGAAUAGGACAUCAUAGAGGGUGAGAAUCCCGUAUUUGACCAUUAUUUUCAGCUUUGUGAUACACUUUCAAAGAGUCGGAUUGUUUGGGAAUGCAGUCCAAAAUGGGUGGUAAAUUUCAUCUAAAGCUAAAUAUUGGCGAGAGACCGAUAGCGAACAAGUACCGUGAGGGAAAGAUGGAAAGAACUUUGAAAAGAGAGUUAAACAGUACGUGAAAUUGUCAAAAGGGAAGCGUUUGACACCAGUGUUGUUUUCUCGAAAAUCAAUUAAAAAUGGCUCGAUUUUGUAUUGCUGAGACCUUAAAAGCUCACUGUACAUUUUACGUGUCUUUUUUAAUGCACUUUUCGUUUAACAAGUCAACAUCAGUUUCUUUUGUUGUAAAAGGGUCAUUGGAAGGUGGCUUUCUUUUCGGAGAAAGUGUUUAUAGCCUUUGGCCUCUGCAAUCGGGAGAGACUGAGGUCUGCAGCGUAGACUCUUCGGGGUUAGAUACAUUUGUGCUAAGUUAUAGCUUUUUAUAGACAACUUGUUGACUAUAAUUAGUCUUGUAGCUUACUCGCUUAUGCUAUUUUACCUACGCUUAGGAUGUUGAGUAGCGACAUACGCAC
rnacentral:rRNA from 1 species